GAUGAACGCUGGCGGCGUGCCUAAUACAUGCAAGUCGAGCGAACAGACGAGGAGCUUGCUCCUUCGACGUUAGCGGCGGACGGGUGAGUAACACGUAGGUAACCUACCUAUAAGACUGGGAUAACUUCGGGAAACCGGAGCUAAUACCGGAUAAUAUAUCGAACCGCAUGGUUCGAUAGUGAAAGAUGGCUUUGCUAUCACUUAUAGAUGGAUCUGCGCCGUAUUAGCUAGUUGGUAAGGUAACGGCUUACCAAGGCAACGAUACGUAGCCGACCUGAGAGGGUGAUCGGCCACACUGGAACUGAGACACGGUCCAGACUCCUACGGGAGGCAGCAGUAGGGAAUCUUCCGCAAUGGGCGAAAGCCUGACGGAGCAACGCCGCGUGAGUGAUGAAGGUCUUCGGAUCGUAAAACUCUGUUAUUAGGGAAGAACAAACGUGUAAGUAACUGUGCACGUCUUGACGGUACCUAAUCAGAAAGCCACGGCUAACUACGUG
rnacentral:rRNA from 1 species